rfam:Gossypium hirsutum cultivar TM-1 chromosome 22, whole genome shotgun sequence
AAUUUGUGGCGGGCAUUUUUGAAUUAACAUUUUGAAAUGUUCCCACACCUCAUAGAAACUUUCUUUCUCCAUCUGAAUAAAGACAUCAAUCUCUCUUCUUAGUU